rnacentral:rRNA from 1 species
GACGAAACGCUGGCGGCGUGCCUAACACAUGCAAGUCGAACGGAGUUGAGUGCUUCGGUAUUCAACUUAGUGGCAAACGGGUGAGUAACGCGUGAGGAACCUGCCUUCAGUGGGGGACAACAGUUGGAAACGACUGCUAAUACCGCAUGAUACUUUUUGGGGGCAUCCCUGAAAAGUCAAAGAUUUAUUGCUGAAAGAUGGCCUCGCGUCUGAUUAGCUAGUUGGCGGGGUAACGGCCCACCAAAGGCGACGAUCAGUAGCCGGUCUGAGAGGAUGAACGGCCACAUUGGGACUGAGAUACGGCCCAGACUCCUACGGGAGGCAGCAGUGGGGAAUAUUGGGCAAUGGGGGAAACCCUGACCCAGCAACGCCGCGUGAAAGGAAGAAAGGCCCUCGGGUUGUAAACUUCUUUUACCAGGGCGAAGGAUGUGACGGUACCUGGAGAAAAAGCAACGGCUAACUACGUGCCAGCAGCCGCAGUAAC